UUACGGCCGUAUCACGUUGAGACACUGAUUCCCGUUCGAUCACCGAAGUUAAGCAACGUCGAGCCUAGUCAGUACCUAGAUGGAUGACUGCUUGAGAAUACCAAGUACUGUAA